UACAGAGGGUGCAAGCGUUGUUCGGAAUUAUUGGGCGUAAAGCGCGUGUAGGCGGCUUUGCAAGUCGGGUGUGAAAGCCCUCAGCUCAACUGAGGAAGUGCGCCCGAAACUGCAGAGCUUGAGUGCCGGAGAGGGUGGCGGAAUUCCCGGUGUAGUGGUGAAAUGCGUAGAUAUCGGGAGGAACACCAGUGGCGAAGGCGACUACCUGGCCUGUUCUUGACGCUGAGGCGCGAAAGCUAGGGGAGCAAACGGG
rnacentral:rRNA from 1 species